UACAUUUUAUUAAUAUAUUUUAACGUAUAAGUAAUUAUAUUAAAAUAGAAUUUACGAAUUUUGAAAUAAAUAUUUAAGUAACGAAUAUUUAUUUUUUAUACGUUUUAAAUAUUUCAACGAUUUAUGAAAUUAAAAUAAUUUUAGAACUUUUGUUGAAAAGAAAUCGAAUUACGAAAACCGUUUGAAGUUGGAAAACAAUCCUAAUUGGUUUUGGAUUCAAAUACUUAAACUCAAUCCUAGUUCUAGCCCAAAUUGAUAAAGCCCAAAUAACAAAAACUCAAAUUCUUUACUCCCUCCUCUUUCUAUUUCACGUGAAACCAAAAACACCAAAACCCUCAAACCUUGCUUCCUCCUUCACGUGAACCUGCAGCCCUCACCUCCUUCAGCGUCGCACAGCCGCCGCACCAGCCACUGCCUGGCCGCCGUCGUUGCUAGGCCACCACCUCCUCCGUCGAUCGCCACCACCACACGCCGCUAGCCUUGCCGCCGCCUGUCACUGCUGCCACGCUUCCCAACCUCCGGCGGUCUCCCUCCUUUCUCCUCCACGCACGCAACAAGCUUCCCCUUUCUUCUUUUCUUGCUUCACCAUCAGCACAACCACCACCGUCGCUGCCACCUGACAGUCGUGCCGCACCGCACUCCUGCGCCUGUGCUGCACCGCCGUGGCCGCCGUCGCUCCCUGCCCAGCCGGCGCCCUUGCUCUUCACUCUCUUCUUGAUUUGGCGGAGAAUUCUCUUUAGGCGACUUUUGAAAGUGUUAAAGUGGCCUAUCAGUUUGUUUACACAAGUCUCUAAGGAUCAAUAAGCGUUGCCCAUCUACAGGUUUGAAGAUGAUGCAUCAUUGGGAUCGGGAUUAGAGAGCUUAUAGUUCUAUUUGUUUAAUUAAGUGAUUUAAUUUGUUAACUUGGAUUUGAAAUUUGUCGUACUAUUUAUAUUUCCUUAUUUUCGUUUAUUGGUUUUGGGAUUAAACCUGUAAUCAAUUACCUAUAAACCUCAAAUUAGUUUUAUGUUUUCCGCUGCAAAA